CAGGAAUGAAAUUCCGGGUUGGAAUGCUUGUCUGUGUCCAACAGUGAGGUACAUGGCCAAGCUGCUGGUUCACACCCAGGAUUGUCCUUUUUCAUGUAUUCUAAGAGUUUGAGGGAAGUCGUGAAAUAUGACCCUUAAAUCUGAUACUGCUGAAGGUGUGCUGUAUUUCCUGCUCUUACAUUCGUUAUUGUUCUGGUCAGCACCUGCUGCUGUCACUCUAAAAAACAUUGCAGACUGAAUUCCUGUAAGAUAUGGGAAGGGAAACCUGGGAGUGGAAAUCAUCCUGCAUGACUCAGAAUAUUUGGUUUGCUUGCCAACGCUG